rfam:Schistosoma mattheei strain Denwood, Zambia genome assembly, scaffold: SMTD_scaffold0000049
AUCUAGCUGACCAAUCCCAAAUAGGACGACACGCACGUCCUGGAU